rnacentral:rRNA from 1 species
GUCGAGGAUCUUCCGCAAUGGGCGCAAGCCUGACGGAGCGACGCCGCGUGGAGGAUGAAGGCCUUCGGGUUGUAAACUCCUGUCACACGUUAUGAACAGCGAGAGGUUAAUAGCCUGCUCGUCUGACAAAGGCGUGAGAGGAAGCGCCGGCUAAUUCCGUGCCAGCAGCCGCGGUAAGACGGAAGGCGCGAACGUUGUUCGGAAUCACUGGGCAUAAAGAGCUCGUAGGCGGUCCGUUAGGUCUGGGGUGAAAUCCCUCGGCCCAACCGAGGAAUGGCCCUGGAAACCGGCGGGCUAGAGGGCAGGAGGGGAGAGCGGAAUUCCUGGUGGAGCGGUGAAAUGCGUAGAUAUCAGGAGGAACGCCGGUGGCGAAAGCGGCUCUCUGGUCUGUUCCUGACGCUGAGGAGCGAAAGCUAGGGUAGCAAACAGGAUUAGAUACCCGGGUAGUCC